rnacentral:rRNA from 1 species
CCUACGGGAGGCAGCAGUGAGGAAUAUUGGUCAAUGGACGGAAGUCUGAACCAGCCAUGCCGCGUGCAGGAAGACGGCUCUAUGAGUUGUAAACUGCUUUUGUACAAGGGUAAACCUGAAUACGUGUAUUCAGCUGAAAGUACUGUACGAAUAAGGAUCGGCUAACUCCGUGCCAGCAGCCGCGGUAAUACGGAGGAUCCAAGCGUUAUCCGGAUUUAUUGGGUUUAAAGGGUGCGUAGGCGGAUUGAUAAGUUAGAGGUGAAAUGUCCGGGCUUAACUCGGGAACUGCCUCUAAUACUGGUGGUGUGGAGAGUAGAUGAGGUAGGCGGAAUGUGCGGGGUAGCGGUGAAAUGCUUAGAGAUCAUACAGAACUCCGAUUGCGAGGGCAGCUUACCAACUAAAAUCUGACGCUGAGGCACGAAAGCGUGGGGAGCAAACAGGAUUAGAUACCCCAGUAGUC